UUUUAAUUCUAAUUACUUAUGGAGCCUUCUUUUCCUAACUUUGUGCCAUCAAAGGAUUUCUAAGAUAUAUAAACAAGGUAAAGCAAUCAUUCGGUGAACAUUCCUGGGUUUUCAGGUAUCUGAGCGGAUAUGAUCUUUCGGGACAGCUUCCAGAUUUCAGUUCCAUGGAUGCCCUCGUGACGAUAGAUCUGCACAACAAUAGCUUGAGUGGAUCCAUUCCGGAUUGUCUCGGCACAUUACCGAAUCUCAAAGAAUUGAACUUGGCCAAUAAUAAGUUGACUGGACCGAUCCCUUCGUCGCUGUCCAAAAACAACAAAAUUAAAUUAAC